AAAGUAUUUUCAGGACAAAGCAAUAGGCAACCUCAUGCUUCCAUUGGGGACAGACACUCCCAGGACACAGGUAGCUUUGUGGCUUUGGGAUCUGUCACUUUCCACAAUGACAAUAAAACCAACUCAUUCAGGGGCUUUGUGGUACUUUCUUUCCUUUGACAUUUUUCAAUUUAAGUGCCUUAAAUAAGGCUACUGGACUGCAAGUAGCAGCAAUUUCUCAGGCCAGUUAAAACGAAAGCAGGACUUAUCCUAAGGAUGAAUGUCUGGGAAUGUAACCAUCAGCUGGAGCGCAGGAAGCUAGCUCCUCUCUCCCUCCCCACAUAUAUGUCUUCAUGGUUGCUUCGUUCUUCUCUUCCCCUGUACAGAGCUUCCUGCUUCUUUUCUACUGUGCAAACAGCAGUGGAAGUGAAGGCAGAGUGACUGCUUUACAGUCAACAAAUUUACCUAAUCCUAGGUCGGAGGCCAGCCAGCCCGACAGUUAACGGCCGAUCCACAAUUUCCAGGCAAAGGAUCUGAUUGGCCUGCUUGAAUCAGGUUGGCAUUCCUGGACCAAUCAGUGACUGCAGGGGUACAGACAGGGCCUCAGGGGCCACGCCCAGUAGGGAGGGGCAACUCUGGGUGGCGGGUGAGCCUGGGCUGGGCCGGCGCUCCCUAGGUCCACGAUAUUCAAAGAAGUCACUCAAGGAGGUCACAUUUGGACGCCCAGGACUCAUUGGAAGGGAAUCCCUGAGCUGUCAGGAGCAGGCCCGGGAACCACAGCGUCCACAGUGCCUGGCAUGCUCCUGGUACAGAGCUCCUGCAACAACUGACAAAGCAGGAUCUCGGCAGCAGAGGCUUGGAUUCAAAGUCAGCAGAGGUUUCGCAUCCGAAGAUUCAAUGAAGUGUUGGGAGUCCGUGGACGCAGAGGGCUGACUGUAUGCAUUGUUCUACACCAUUUUCUAUCAGGAACUUGAGCGUCCACGGAUAUUGGUCCUGGAGCCAAUACCAGCAGAUACUGAGGGACAACUGUAAAUGAGUUAGUAUUUAUAAAAUGUUAGAACAAUGCCUGGCACAUAGUAAAUGUUCAAUAAGUGUGGGAUAUUAUCAUUACUAUUAUUGGCAUUUCACUCUUAGCUGGACUUUUGCAGGCUGGCAUGCAGAGUGGCUGGAGGGGGCUCGCAUUGUCCUCUCCUCUAGGAUCCACUCCCAAGCCAGUAGGCAGGCUGGUGUGUGUACGCGAGGAAUUGUGUUGAGUAGGAGGGUGGAAAAGAGUGUGACAGCCCAGAUCAGGGGUAAGUGCAAGGGCCCUGUGGCUGCCCUGGUAGGGACAGUGGACCUGCCCAGCUGGAAGAAUCCAUGGCUCAGUGUGAGACUCCAGCAGCACAGGGGCUGGUGUGGUUGUGUGUCGGAAAGGAGGGGAGCGUGUGGUCUCAGUAGUGAUAGAUCUAGGAGUGUG